GCGUUAUCCGGAUUCACUGGGUUUAAAGGGUGCGUAGGUGGGUUGGUAAGUCAGUGGUGAAAUCUCCGUGCUUAACAUGGAAACUGCCAUUGAUACUACUGGUCUUGAAUUUUCUGGAGGUUAGCGGAAUAUGUCAUGUAGCGGUGAAAUGCUUAGAUAUGACAUAGAACACCAAUUGCGAAGGCAGCUAGCUACAGGGAUAUUGACACUGAGGCACGAAAGCGUG
rnacentral:rRNA from 1 species